AGUUCUUGUCUCUCUCUUGAUGAUGCUCCUUUUCCCGAUGUGUAGGUUCAUGGGACGGCUCCAGACAUUGCAGGCAAGGACAUGGCGAAUCCCACAGCCCUCCUGCUCAGUGCCGUGAUGAUGCUGCGCCACAUGGGACUUUUUGACCAUGCUGCAAGAAUUGAGGCCGCGUGUUUUGCUACAAUUAAGGACGGAAAGAGCUUGACAAAAGAUUUGGGAGGCAAUGCAAAAUGCUCAGACUUCACAGAGGAAAUCUGUCGCCGAGUAAAAGAUUUAGAUUAACGCUUCUACAACUGGUAUUUACAUCAGUCACUCUAAAUGGACACCACAUAAACCUCUGUUUAGAAUACCUACGUAUGUAUGCAUUGGUUUACUUGUUUCUUGACAGUACAUUUUUAGAUCUGGCCUUUUGUUAACAAAAUCUGUGCAAAGAUGCAGGUGGAUGUCCCUAGGUCUGUUUUCAAAGAACUUUUUCCAAGUGCUUGUUUUAUUUAUUGUCUACCUGGUAAAUGGUUUUUUUUUGUAAACUCUG
rnacentral:sRNA from 1 species